rnacentral:rRNA from 1 species
UACGUAGGGGGCAAGCGUUGUCCGGAUUUAUUGGGCGUAAAGAGCGUGUAGGCGGCUUGGUAGGUCCGCUGUGAAAACUCGAGGCUCAACCUCGAGAUGUCGGCGGAAACCACUUGGCUAGAGUCCGGAAGAGGAGAGUGGAAUUCCUGGUGUAGCGGUGAAAUGCGCAGAUAUCAGGAAGAACACCUAUGGCGAAGGCAGCUCUCUGGGACGGUACUGACGCUGAGACGCGAAAGCGUGGGGAGCGAACCGG